rnacentral:rRNA from 1 species
GCAGUAGACGCACAGUUUAUACCGUAGCUUGCUACACCAUAGACUGUGAGUUGCGAACGGGUGAGUAACGCGUAGGUAACCUGCCUGGUAGCGGGGGAUAACUAUUGGAAACGAUAGCUAAUACCGCAUAAAAUCUCUUAUCGCAUGAUAGAAGAUUAAAAGGGGCAACUGCUCCACUACCAGAUGGACCUGCGUUGUAUUAGCUAGUAGGUAGGGUAAUGGCCUAUCUAGGCGACGAUACAUAGCCGACCUGAGAGGGUGAUCGGCCACACUGGGACUGAGACACGGCCCAGACUCCUACGGGAGGCAGCAGUAGGGAAUCUUCGGCAAUGGGGGGAACCCUGACCGAGCAACGCCGCGUGAGUGAAGAAGGUUUUCGGAUCGUAAAGCUCUGUUGUUAAGGAAGAACGGGUGUGGGAGUGGAAAAUCCACACAGUGACGGUACUUAACCAGAAAGGGACGGCUAACUACGUGCCAGCAGCCGUGGUAAUACGUAGGUCCCGAGCGUUGUCCGGAUUUAUUGGGCGUAAAGCGAGCGCAGGCGGUUAGAUAAGUCUGAAGUUAAAGGCAGUGGCUCAACCAUUGUACGCUUUGGAAACUGUUUAACUUGAGUGCAGAAGGGGAGAGUGGAAUUCCAUGUGUAGCGGUGAAAUGCGUAGAUAUAUGGAGGAACACCGGUGGCGAAAGCGGCUCUCUGGUCUGUAACUGACGCUGAGGCUCGAAAGCGUGGGGAGCGAACAGGAUUAGAUACCCUGGUAGUCCACGCCGUAAACGAUGAGUGCUAGGUGUUAGGUCCUUUCCGGGACUUAGUGCCGCAGCUAACGCAUUAAGCACUCCGCCUGGGGAGUACGACCGCAAGGUUGAAACUCAAAGGAAUUGACGGGGGCCCGCACAAGCGGUGGAGCAUGUGGUUUAAUUC